GAUGAACGCUGGCGGCGUGCCUAAUACAUGCAAGUAGAACGCUGAAGGAGGAGCUUGCUCUUCUGGAUGAGUUGCGAACGGGUGAGUAACGCGUAGGUAACCUGCCUGGUAGCGGGGGAUAACUAUUGGAAACGAUAGCUAAUACCGCAUGACAACAGUUAUUGCAUGAUAACUGUUUAAAAGGGGCAACUGCUCCACUACCAGAUGGACCUGCGUUGUAUUAGCUAGUUGGUGAGGUAACGGCUCACCAAGGCGACGAUACAUAGCCGACCUGAGAGGGUGAUCGGCCACACUGGGACUGAGACACGGCCCAGACUCCUACGGGAGGCAGCAGUAGGGAAUCUUCGGCAAUGGACGGAAGUCUGACCGAGCAACGCCGCGUGAGUGAAGAAGGUUUUCGGAUCGUAAAGCUCUGUUGCAAGAGAAGAACGAGUGUGAGAGUGGAAAGUUCACACUGUGACGGUAUCUUACCAGAAAGGGACGGCUAACUACGUG
rnacentral:rRNA from 1 species